GACGAACGCUGGCGGCGUGCUUAACACAUGCAAGUCGAACGGAAAGGCCCUGCUUUUGUGGGGUGCUCGAGUGGCGAACGGGUGAGUAACACGUGAGUAACCUGCCCUUGACUUUGGGAUAACUUCAGGAAACUGGGGCUAAUACCGGAUAGGAGCUCCUGCUGCAUGGUGGGGGUUGGAAAGUUUCGGCGGUUGGGGAUGGACUCGCGGCUUAUCAGCUUGUUGAUGGGGUAGUGGCUUACCAAGGCUUUGACGGGUAGCCGGCCUGGGAGGGUGACCGGCCACAUUGGGACUGAGAUACGGCCCAGACUCCUACGGGAGGCAGCAGUGGGGAAUAUUGCACAAUGGGCGGAAGCCUGAUGCAGCAACGCCGUGUGCGGGAUGACGGCCUUCGGGUUGUAAACCGCUUUCGCCUGUGACGAAGCGUGAGUGACGGUAAUGGGUAAAGAAGCACCGGCUAACUACGUG
rnacentral:rRNA from 1 species